GGAGAGGUGGCCGAGCGGCUGAAGGCGCACGCCUGGAAAGUGUGUAUACGGCAACGUAUCNNUUCGAAUCCCUCUCUCUCCGCCA
rnacentral:tRNA from 1 species